rnacentral:rRNA from 1 species
CCUACGGGAGGCAGCAGUGGGGAAUAUUGGACAAUGGGGGAAACCCUUAUCCAGCGACGCCGCGUGAGGGAAGAAGGUUUUCGGAUUGUAAACCUCUGUCAGUGGGGACGAUAAUGACGGUACCUGAAGAAUAAGCUCCGGCUAACUACGUGCCAGCAGCCGCGGUAAUACGUAGGGAGCGAGCGUUAUCCGGAAUUAUUGGGCGUAAAGGGUGCGUAGAUGGCAUAGUAAGUCUUUUGUAAAAAUGCUGGGCUCAACCCAGUAGGGCAAAAGAUACUGCAAAGCUAGAGUAUGACAGAGGCAAGUGGAACUACAUGUGUAGCGGUAAAAUGCGUAAAUAUAUGUAAGAACACCAGUGGCGAAGGCGGCUUGCUGGGUCGAUACUGACAUUGAGGCACGAAAGCGUGGGGAGCAAACAGGAUUAGAUACCCCGGUAGUC